GCCCCGAUUUUGGCCCAGGGCACCGGAUCUUGGCCUCGAGUCACCGUGGUCGUCGACUGAGGCCAUCCACCCCUCAGCCUUCCCACACCGGAGCCUCCAAAUAGAUAUCCCGCGGAUCCUGGAGACUCUGAAAUGCAUAUGGAGCCUAUGAAUGUUGGACUGGUUAACAUUCCAGUGAACUUGGAGCUUGUGAGCACAGAGGCAAUGGAUGCAGAAACAUCACCAAUAACUACAAGACGCAGGAGAAAGAAAUCAAUGGUCUGGGAACAGUUCACUGUUGAAGUUGUAUCUGGUGGACAUACUAAAGCUCGCUGCAAAUUAUGCAAGCAAACCUUUGCAUACAGUAAGGGUUCUAAGGUAGCAGGUACUAGCUAUCUUAAGAGGCACGUUUCACUGGGUUCCUGUCCUAAGAUUAGGAAUGAAAGGCAAAAACUUCCAUUAACUUCCGCCACAAAAAUUGAGGGUGAUACAACUGAACCGCCCAAAAGACGCUAUAGAACAUCUAGCAUGCUCAAUGCUUUUGAUCAGGAACAUAGUUGCACAUGCCUUGCAAAGAUGACAUAUUACAUGAGUACCCACUACAUAUGGUUGAAAACUCCGCAUUUGUGUCCUUUGUUCAGAGUCUGCAAUCACAACUUAACAUUUUUGAUGCUAAUACGAUGGAAGGUGAAAUCUUAUCUAUAUACUGCAAAGAAAAACAAAGUCUCAUGCAUACCUUCCAGAUCAUGCCCGGGAGGAUCAGUCUAACUGUAGGACUGUGGACAACCAGUCAGACUCUUGGUUAUAUUUGCCUCAGUGGCCAAUUCAUUGACAGUGAGUGGAAGUUGCAUAGAAGAAUGCUUAAUUUCUUUAUGGUAUCCUCGCCUCAUUCUCAAAAUGCCCUGAGUGUGGCAAUUAGUAUUAGUCUUUCAGAUUGGAAUAUGAAGAGUAAGUUGUUCAACAUCACUUUAGACAAUGACUGUUCGUUGCAUGACAUCUACGGUGUUAAUCUCAGAGAUCAUCUUUCUAACAAGAAUGCCCUUAUGCUGAAAGGAAAUUGCAUACAAUAUUCGGGAGAGUGUGAAAUUGAUUAAAGUUUCUCAAUGGACGGAAAAAAAUUGAUGAAAUUGCCUCGCAAACUGGAAUUCCUAUCGCAAAGGUUCUUUCUCUUGAUGUUACAACUCUGUGGAACACAACUUACUGUUGAGUUCUGUGUUUUAAUUCAAAUUAUUUUUCUUGUUUUUUUAUUGUUGUUCUGGUAAUACAUAUGUGUAUGCAUUUAGUCCCACAUUGCUAAGCUAAGAAGGUUGGAAGACCUUAUAUAUGGAGCCCUUCCAUCCUUCCUCUGUACCGUGGCUAAUAUAUUCUCUAAAGACAGUCGGCCGCUUCAACUAGAGGAUAACAAUUUCUGGACCUUACUCUUUUAUUUACCUGUUUAUUGCAUGCUUGCUAUUUUGGUGCAAAUAUAUUACUGUGUUGGUGCUCUCAUGCAACAACAAUUUUAGAGAAUAUAGUGCCAGCAUCGAUAGACAUGAUGAAUGAUAGGGUAACGGGGUCUGAUGAGGCUAGCGCCAGACCCAAGAGAUUUUUCGGGCAAAACUUCAGACGUUGGCAACAACGGAUGAAAUUUUGGCUUACUACGCUAGGGUUAUUCUCCGUUAUAGAAACAAAUCC